rnacentral:lncRNA from 13 species
AUGUUUCUUCUCAAAAUUCCAACCACAGAGAUACUUUACAGUGAUCACAAAGCCCACCAUAGUAGGAAAGGGAAAAGGGGUGGAAGAUGCUGUUCUUGGGGUCUCUUGCUACUGGGUGGCUGCUUCCUUAUUUCAAAAUACCCAUCCAAAUGGGCAGCACUCCCGGGAGGGCUGCAAAGAUGCGGGGUUUGUGCGGCGAGCCCUCCCCGGUGCCUCCGGGGGCUUGGAGCAGAGGGCGCACGCAGAGCCGCAGGCUGCGUAGGUGCUCCUGGCGCUGGGAAGGGCGGGCAGGGAAGAGGGCAGAGCAGGGACGCUUUCGCACGGCCGCACCGGGGACGGCCCGCAGACAGCGGGACCGGGCGGAGCUGCGGCUGCACACGGGGCGUGGCGCUGGCCGUGUCCGGGGGAUGCCCUGAAGCGCCCGGGGGGACUGUGACGGCAUCCCGGCAUCCCAGCAUCCCAAACCCGCGGUCAGAGCGACACAGCGGCUCCUUCUCCAGUAGCCCCCUCCCCCCCGCGCUGCUCCGGGUCCCCCGGUGGCCGCGGCGGCUCUGGACCCGCCCGUCCGGGGCGGGGCUCGGACCAGCCCGGCCGCGCUCGCCGCCGCCGCCGGAGCCGGAGCCGUCCGCAGGUGCGCAGGUAGGAGCCGCUCCCGGGAGCCUGCGCCGGGAGUGCCAGACACCCCCUCCCUCCCGCUGCCGUCUCGCUGCCGCCCCGCCCUGUCGCGGAUCGUCGCCCCCGCCCCGGCCGUGGUCCGGCUGCCCGCGGCCGCCGGGGAGCCCUGGAGCUGCGGGCGGGGCUGGGGCUGCAGCCUGCGGCAGGAGCCGGGACCCCGCGCUGCCUGUCCUGGAGCGUCCUGUGUCACCGCAGGUAGACACGGGCUGGGUAGGAGGAUUAGAGCUGCUUCACCCAGGGCCUGAAGGAUCCAGCUGUGGAAGAGCUCUGCCAGGUCAUGAUUUCGGCAUCCCUCUCAUCCAUGAAUCCCUCUGGGGCAUCCAUCCCUUGGGCGCUGAGGGAUGUGGUGGUGACAAAACUCGGCAGGGUCUUCGGCCGGGUUGCUGCAUAGGGGUCUGUGAAGAAGCUCACCUGGGUUGA